CACUGGAUUCCCGCGGGGGCCUACCGGCCUACCAACGGAAACCAAACUCCGAAUACUGUAUAGCGAACCGGGAGAUAGACUGUGGGGGAUAAGCUUCAUAGUCGAGAGGGGAACAGCCCAGACCGUCAAUUAAGGUCCCAAAUUCUAUGCUAAGUGAGUAAGGAAGUGGAGUUUCAAAAACAGUUGGGAUGUUGGCUUAGAGGCAGCCAUCAUUUAAAGAGUGCGUAAUAGCUCACCAAUCGAGAAACUUUGCGCCGAUAAUACUUGGGGCUCAAGCAUGGAACCGAAAUUACGGGUGCCCGCGUUAAGCGGGCGCGGUAGGAGAGCGUAGUAUGGGCGUUGAAGGCAUACUGUAAGGAGUGCUGGAGCGCAUACUAGUGAUGAUGCAUGGCAUAAGUAACGAUAAAGGAAGUGAAAAUCUUCCUCGCCGAAAGCCCAAGGUUUCCAGGGUAAAGUUCGUCUUCCCUGGGUUAGCCGGCCCCUAAGCCGAGGCAGAAAUGCGUAGGUGAUGGGAAACAGGUUAAAUAUUCCUGUGCCGCCUAAAACUAUGACGAUGGGUUGACGAAGUAAGUCAAGCACGCGGACGAUUGGAAGUGUCCGUGGGGCAAUGAGGCCGCCUGACAGGUAAAUCCGUCAGGGUAAAGCCGGGUUGCUCCCAAGGGGAAGCCGCAAGGCGGAACCGAUGGUGUGGCGCGAGGCUUCCGAGAAAAAGCCCUAGUCGUUGAUGGCGACCGUACCAAAACCGACACAGGUGGGCGAGAUGAAUAUUCUAAGGCGCGCGAGCGAACUCUUGUUAAGGAACUCGGCAAAUUGUCCCCGUAACUUAGGGAGAAGGGGAGCCUCUGGAGGUGAUUAUUGAACGAUAUGAGCGUCCGGAGGUCGCAGAGAAUCGUCCCAGGCGACUGUUUAUCAAAAACACAGCACUAUGCAAAGCCGAUAAGGCGAAGUAUAUGGUGUGAUGCCUGCCCAAUGCCAAAAGGUCAAAGGGAGGUGUUAGCUUCGGCGAAGCACUGAACUUAAGCCCUGGUGAAUGGCGGCCGUAACUAUAACGGUCCUAAGGUAGCGAAAUUCCUUGUCGGGUAAGUUCCGACCUGCACGAAUGGUGUAACGAUCUGGGAGCUGUCUCAACAAGAGGCUCGGUGAAAUUGUAGUAGCGGUGAAGAUGCCGUUUACCUGCGACAAGACGGAAAGACCCCGUGAACCUUUACUGUACUUUGGUAUUGGCUCUUGACUUAUCAUGUGUAGGAUAACCGGGAGACAGAGAAGCCGCCUCGUUAGGGGCGGUGGAGUCACCCUUGAAAUACCGGUCUUGAUAAGUUGGGAAUCUAACAAGAGCCCAUGAAGCUGGGACUUGGACAUUGCCAGACGGGCAGUUUUACUGGGGCGGUAUCCUCCUAAAGAGUAACGGAGGAGUCCAAAGCUUACCUCAUCGUGGUUGGCAAUCACGAGUGGAGCGUAAAGGUAUAAGGUAAGUUAACUGCGAGACUGACAGGUCGAGCAGAUACGAAAGUAGGGCUUAGUGAUCCGGCGGUGGAAAGUGGAAUCGCCGUCGCUCAACGGAUAAAAGGUACUCCGGGGAUAACAGGCUUAUCGCCGCCAAGAGUUCACAUCGACGCGGCGGUUUGGCACCUCGAUGUCGGCUCAUCGCAUCCUGGGGCUGGAGAAGGUCCCAAGGGUUUGGCUG
rnacentral:rRNA from 1 species